GUGAAAAGAGGCUUAGAGACUCAAACAGCUCAGUAAUGCUUCUGCUGUUGGUUACUGCAUCUAAGACAGGAAUCUUAAAUGCUUCACCUGUACAGACGAGCUUAUCUCAAUGUAGGAGCCAGAAGAAAGAUAAAGAAAAGUGAGAGAAAGACUAGUAGGUAACAGGAGGAAUGAGAAGAAUGAGUGGAGAAGUGGGGAGACAAAAAAUAAAUCAAGAUAAAUAGCAUAAAUGAAUGUGGACAAAGAUUGAAGGAAAGAGAAAUAUAAGAAGACAAGAGGAGGAGAAAUUGAGGUUAAAAUAAAGGUGAAUAGCAGAAAUGGGGCAAAGAAUUGAAGAUCAAGCCUGUG